rnacentral:rRNA from 1 species
GUUCCUACGGGGGGCAGCAGUGGGGAAUAUUGCACAAUGGGGGAAACCCUGAUGCAGCGACGCCGCGUGAGUGAAGAAGUAUUUCGGUAUGUAAAGCUCUAUCAGCAGGGAAGAAAAUGACGGUACCUGACUAAGAAGCCCCGGCUAACUACGUGCCAGCAGCCGCGGUAAUACGUAGGGGGCAAGCGUUAUCCGGAUUUACUGGGUGUAAAGGGAGCGUAGACGGCAGAGUAAGUCUGAUGUGAAAUACCGGGGCUCAACUUCGGGACUGCAUUGGAAACUGUCAGACUGGAGUGUCGGAGAGG